UGGGGAAGGAAGAUCAACAGGGAUUGCCUCAGUAACGGCGAGUGAAGCGGCAAAAGCUCAAAUUUUAAAGCUGGCACCUCCGGUGUCCGCGUUGUAAUUUUGUGAGGCAUCUCCGGGUAGGGCGCCGGCCUAAGUUCCUUGGAACAGGACGUCAUAGAGGGUGAGAAUCCCGUGCUUGGCUGGCUGUCCCCGUCCAUGUGAGGUGUCUUCGACGAGUCGAGUUGUUUGGGAAUGCAGCUCAAAAUGGGUGGUAAAUUUCAUCUAAAGCUAAAUAUUGGUGGGAGACCGAUAGCGCACAAGUAGAGUGAUCGAAAGAUGAAAAGCACUUUGAAAAUAGAGUUAAAAAGUACGUGAAAUUGUUGAAAGGGAAGCGCUUGAGACCAGACUUCGGUGGGGAGUGAUCAGCCAUCCUUCUGGGCGGUGCACUUGCUCCCCUCCGGGCCAGCAUCGGUUGGGACGGCGGGAUAAAGGUCCCGGGAAUGUGGCUCCUUUCGGGGAGUGUUAUAGCCCGGGUGAAUGCCGCCAGCCCCGACCGAGGACCGCGCCUUCGGGCUAGGAUGCUUGGCAUAAUGGUCUUCAGCGACCCGUCUUGAAACACGGACCAAGGAGUCUAACAUCUAUGCGAGUGUUUGGGUGUCAAACCCUUACGCGAAAUGAAAGUGAACGGAGGUGGGAACCCGCAAGGGUGCACCAUCGACCGGUCCCGAAGUCUUCUGAAGGAUCUGAGUAGGAGCAUAGCUGUUGGGACCCGAAAGAUGGUGAACUAUGCCUGAAUAGGGUGAAGCCAGAGGAAACUCUGGUGGAGGCUCGCAGCGGUUCUGACGUGCAAAUCGAUCGUCAAAUUUGGGUAUAGGGGCGAAAGACUAAUCGACCAUCUUAUUCCU
rnacentral:rRNA from 1 species